rnacentral:rRNA from 1 species
GCGAAAACUUUACAAUGCGGGAAACCGCGAUAAGGGGACACCGAGUGCCAGCAUCCUAUGUUGGCUGUCCAUAUGUAUAAAUAACAUGUGUUAGCAAGGGCCGGGCAAGACCGGUGCCAGCCGCCGCGGUAACACCGGCGGCCCGAGUGGUGGCCACUAUUAUUGGGUCUAAAGGGUCCGUAGCCGGUUUGGUCAGUCUUCCGGGAAAUCUGACGGCUUAACCGUUAGGCUUUCGGGGGAUACUGCCAGGCUUGGGACCGGGAGAGGUAAGAGGUACUACGGGGGUAGGAGUGAAAUCUUGUAAUCCCUGUGGGACCACCAGUGGCGAAGGCGUCUUACCAGAACGGGUCCGACGGUGAGGGACGAAAGCUGGGGGCACGAACC